AUUGAACGCUGGCGGCAUGCCUUACACAUGCAAGUCGAACGGCAGCACGGGAGCAAUCCUGGUGGCGAGUGGCGAACGGGUGAGUAAAGUAUCGGAACGUGCCCAGUCGUGGGGGAUAACGUAGCGGAAGUUACGCUAAUACCGCAUACGAUCUAUGGAUGAAAGCGGGGGAUCGCAAGACCUCGCGCGAUUGGAGCGGCCGAUAUCAGAUUAGGUAGUUGGUGGGGUAAAGGCUCACCAAGCCGACGAUCUGUAGCUGGUCUGAGAGGACGACCAGCCACACGUGGACUGAGACACGGCCCAGACUCCUACGGGAGGCAGCAGUGGGGAAUUUUGGACAAUGGGCGAAGGCCUGAUUCAGCCAUGCCGCGUGCAGGAUGAAGGCCUUCGGGUUGUAAACUGCUUUUGUACGGAACGAAAAGGUUUGGGCUAAUAAGCUGAGCUCAUGACGGUACCGUAAGAAUAAGCACCGGCUAACUACGUGCCAGCCGCCGCCGUAA
rnacentral:rRNA from 1 species